CCGUGAGGGAUGCAGUGCGCAGCAGGCGGCCCAGCACGCCUCUGCCCUCAGGACCAGCGCACUUGGUAUUUCUUAUAAUGCAGAAGAAAUCACGACGAGUCAGGUUCAGCUCCUGAUCUGAUCCUUGUCGAGUCAAAGCAUCUGUUGAGCGCGACUGGAGGAAGAUGCAGACCAGGAGCGGGGAUCCGCGCCGCUCCCUGGAAGCGGCACAUUGAUCAUUGGCCGCGUGGCCAAUUAGCGGCAGGAGCCAGGUCCAGCCCUCGUGUCUGCGCUCUGGUGAUCUAUCGCCAAUAAUUACCGACGCACUUAAUGCCUAGUUUGGAUGGGAAUUAAUUGGAGGCCGGAUAAAUAAUGCAUUAGGGUUUAUUCAGCCCCAUGUGAAGCGUCUCUCCCGAGCCAGAGCUGGAAGCGGCGAGAAGCGGCGUCUGAGCGGCGGUGGCGGCGAUGCGCGGGGCGGCGGCCGGGGCCGGGUGCUGAUGCUGCGAGCAGCGCCCAGCCGGGAGCAUGCUGAGCCCCAAGAUCAGGCAGGCCAGGAGAGCCCGGUCAAGGAGUUUGGUGAUGGGUGAACAGAUUGGGCCUCCCUCCAGACCUUCUUCUCCAAACCCUCAAGAACGUGUGCUGAAGUGUGGCUGGCUAAAGAAACAAAGGAGCAUUAUGAAGAACUGGCAGCAGCGAUGGUUUGUGCUGCGUGGGGAUCAGCUCUUCUAUUACAAGGAUGAAGAGGAAACUAAACCUCAGGGUUUGAUAUUACUGCAAGGCAAUCAGGUGAACGAGCUGCCACCUAAUCCUGAUGAACCAGGAAAACAUCUCUUUGAAAUUACCCCAGGUGGCGCAGGGGACCGGGAAAAGAUGCCUGUCAAUCAUGAGGCUUUCCUGCUCAUGGCUAAUUCCCAGAACGAAAUGGAAGAUUGGGUAAAAGCCAUCCGACGGGUUAUAUGGGCUCCAUUUGGUGGAGGUAUUGCAAAUAGCUCACAUGCACAUAAAUUAAAACAUUUGCCUCAAGGGAUCUUUGGACAGCGGUUGGAGGACACCGUACAGUACGAGCGGAAGUAUGGCCAGCGCUUGGCCCCGCUGCUGGUGGAACAGUGUGUGGAUUUUAUUCGGGAGCGAGGUCUUACAGAGGAGGGGCUCUUUCGGAUGCCUGGACAAGCCAACCUUGUCAAAGAUCUGCAGGAUUCUUUUGAUUGUGGAGAGAAACCCCUUUUUGACAGCAACACAGAUGUUCACACUGUGGCGUCCCUCCUGAAGCUUUACCUUCGAGAGCUGCCAGAGCCUGUCAUCCCCUUUGCCAAAUAUGAAGACUUUCUUUCUUGUGGACAGCUACUCUCAAAAGAUGAAGGAGAGGGAACCCAGGAACUGGUUAAACAGGUGAAGAAUUUGCCCCAAGCCAACUACAACCUCCUCAAAUACAUAUGCAAGUUCCUCGAUGAAGUUCAGGCUCACUCCAGCAUUAACAAGAUGAGUGUCCAGAACCUGGCUACAGUAUUUGGACCAAAUAUAUUACGUCCCAAAAUGGAAGAUCCAGUGACCAUGAUGGAAGGCACCUCACUAGUUCAACACCUGAUGACAGUGCUGAUAAGUGAACAGGGGCGAAUCUUUGCUGUUCCUCAGGCAGACGUGCCAGGGAGCCAGCUGGAAAUCAGGCCCGUGCGGCAGCGCAGUACUGUGGAGUGGAUCUCUGAGGAGGACGGGGAGGACAGCAGGUCGGAGAACAGUGCUCCCAGCCCCGCUGAUUUGCCUUCUAGCAAUGCUGUGGCACUAGAGGCCACCCCAGGACCUGCAGUGAAAAACACUCCUCCAGAGCAUAGUGGCAAAUUAACUCAGCCUGCCACCAGCCCCAGUAAAAGAGUGCAGACACUGCCUCCAUGGAAAUACUCCUUCCGCCAGCAGGGAGCACGGUCUGUGAGUCCAAAGCUCGGCAGCUCAUCAUUAGAUAUCCCCAAUCUCUCCUCCAGUGGGAACUGGUUGAUGAACGGACUGUACUCACUCCGAGGCCACCGCCGGACAGCAUCUGGGGAGCGAGUUAAAGACUCAUGUUCCUCCCAGAGACUCUCCACUUAUGACAACGUCCCCUUGUCCAGCCUGUCCCUCAGCACACACAGCAUGGCCAGCACUACAUGGUCAACGUCGUCAUGUGAGAUUUCCGUGAUGGACUCAGUCAGCAGCUGCCCAGCCUGCCGGGCCAGUGACUCUUCUGCUUUAAGCUCUCUCAAAACCGAGUGGAUAACUCAGGGCUCGCUGUCUCAGAGCGAGGGCAAGACUGCAGACCUGGAAAACAGCAUGGACAGGUUUGAUGCAUGCAGCAGCAGCAGCAGCGAACAGAGCGACCCAGCUGCAGCUUCCCGAGACUCUGUCCAAUGCUCCAGGGCCUUACAGAGCUUGGUGGUGGAGCUAAAGACAGAACUGAGCAAACAGAGGACUGAGUAUGAGACUAGUAUCAAAAGAAUUGAAGAAACAAGUGCAGACCUGAGGAAACAAGUGGUUAGGUUAGAAGAAGAACUGGACCAAGAACGAAAGAAAUACACGAUGCUGGAGAUCAAGCUGAGGAAUUCUGAACGUGCUCGUGAAGAUGCUGAGAAGAGAAAUUACCUCCUGCAGAAGGAAAUGGAGGAGUUUUUUUCAACAUUAGGAUGUUUAACUCUUGGGAGUCAAAGUGCUAAAGUCCCCAAGUAGAACAAGCACAGAAAUUUCUACUUCUGGCAAAAUGAGUGAAAAUGCACACUUUGUUCCAGUGUACUCAUGUAUCAUGAGUAAUUCUACAGUGAUUGCGCUAUUGGUGACACUUGCUCUGUUGUCUUUACAUGUGCUAUAGUAUUUGGGCAAGCUGGGAAAGUGUGACCAUAAUGCUUGAAAGUUUAGAUGUCAGAUGGCCAGGAAAGGGGCCCCCUUUAAUAUCCACAGAACAAAAGACACUCUUCUCCAGAGUUGUCCUGCCAUCUUUGGAUUCAAAUGCACCAUCGUUUCGCUGGCUCAAGAACAGUGGGAAGUCCUGCAGCAGGGGUGGAUGGCCAGAACCGAUGGACAGGCUGAGCCAGGAGAUGAGGGCCUCCUGCACUUGUGCCUGGGGAGAUGGCAGUUCCAGUCUGGCACCACAGCCAGUGGGGUUGUAUACCAGAUGGAUUCUAAUGAGGUGGUUUUCUCCUCACUCCAUACAUAAAGUUUGUUCAAAUUUCUCAUUCCUAAAGUGGCAUUAUUUUAUGAAGAUACUGUGAAAACAAAAUCUACAAAAAAGCUGAAGAUACCAAAAUCUUGACAGUUCACUAAAAUGGUCCCUUACCUGCCAAACAGUUUCAGUGUUUCAUAAAAAUGCAACUUAUUAAACUGUAUGUGAUUAAUAAUCAGAUUGGCUACACAAACUCCAUGGAACUUUAAAUAUGCACAUUUUGCCCUAGGUAUCUGGGGGAUUUUUGAGCCAAAAAUAGACCAGUAUUAGCUGCAAGAAAAAAACAUUUCAUGAGUUGAUUUAUGUCAUAAAGAUAGAAUAUGGAAUAUCAGUCAUCAAGGUAGAAUAUGGAAGAUUCUUAUCAUCAAAAGACAUCCAACUGAUCCAGCUGCUGAGGGUUUUUAAUCUAUAAAACUCUAAUAGCAAAACCUAUGGCUCUCCAGCAGCACUGGAUUCCUUCCUGCCCGUGGAGUGAGGCAGCAGGUACCCGUCUGUUCAGCAGCACCCGCCUGCCACCUGCAGGCACAAGCAUCACCCCCACCUUCCUUCUCCAUCUCUGCCUUAGGUUAUUACUGAUGGUCACAAGUGAUCUUGCAUGGAAUAGGAUGGCCAUUUAAAACAGCAGCAUUAAGAUCCAUAAUAAUGUGAGAGAGAAGCAGUUGUUGUAACAAUGACUGAGCUGGAAGAGCACAGUGUGGCAUGGAGCUGCAAUACCAGGCCAGUUAUCACAAAAUAAACCUAAAUAUUGGAGGGUGGCCUGACUCAGGGUGUAAGUAGAAAAUCAGGACUGAUAAAAAGGAAGUUUCUACUGAUAACAUUCAAUACAACUAGUAGUAACAACCAGGGUAUUUCAAUGCCCUCUCUUACUGCUAUCCCAAAAGUGGAAACCUUUCACUGUAGCCAUCCUGAUGGCUCACACAUCCCUUAGACUAUACUGCAUUAUCUCCUAUAUCUAUCAAGUGCAGACUGCUCCCUUUAGUUUGGGGACACUACAAACUUGGGAACUGAGCCAUGAUGACUGGGAGACUAAACACCAAAUAUGCAAGACAAGCAGUGAACAGGACUGCUGGCCAACUCUGUAAGUAUUUAACCUUAGGUAACUACUACAUACAGCAGAACUGGGGAACAAACCUACCUAUCCCAAACCUUCAGCUCCAGGACAGGACAAUCUGUCAGAUCUGCAGGAGUAAAAUUACUCUGGCAUUCAGGAUAAAAUUAAUUCUUCUUUUCAAUGUCACAAAUGAAACAGUAUACACUCAAACUGAUUAGUGAAACUAAACAGUUGUAGGUUGACUGUUGUGCUCCAGCACCAUCUAUGCCUCUUGUUCAUGAGGAAUAAAUUCCAGCUCCUUUUGAAGAUGAGACGCUGCAGUAAACAAAGCCUGCAAGAAGCUGCAAACUACCCAGUUCACACUAAAAUUCACGAUGGUAGGAUGUUAACUCUUAAGUGCGGCAACAGGAGUAUAAUGUUCAUUUCCAGACAUGGGCAAUUAUACAAGAAAUGGGAAUCCACCUGUGCUGUUGUACACACCUCAUGGAACACUAUGCCCUUAUUUGAGGAAGAUGAUACACUCUUUCCUAGUUUUAACUGCUGUUUCCAUACUCUUUUCCCACCACUUCAUUUCCCCAUAUCAAGCAUCCUUAUUUUGCAGACCUUUCGCUCAUUACAGCCCCUGAUUUAAAUGUCAGCUUUCUUAGCAAGUGUUUACAAAAUACAGGUUGGUAAUAUUACUUAACAUGACAAAAGGUUCCUGGAAUCAGGUAGAAAUGUUUUUACCAUAGCUUCACCUGUGCAAUCUUCCAGUAUUUUGCAGGCAAAAAAGCAUAAAAACUUUUCAGUGAAAAAAAAACAACACAAGCAUAUACUUUAAAAAAAAAUCAAAACAGCAAUGCUUCAGAAUAACAAAAAAACCCUUCUGAAGGUCUCCAUGUAAUUUCUAACACAAAAAGGAAAAUGAACGAAGGUAGCUCAUUGAAUCAUCUACAUUCACCAGCGAGUUCCAUUGAAGCCAGCAGCACUAAGCAGUGUUUCAGUCCUGAGUCACCCACACACAAAUCCUGGGCAGAGCUAAGAUUGUCUCUCCAGCCUUGCUCUGUUAUUGGCAUAUCAUUUGAAAUUGGCUGCCCUUUAUGCUGACAUGCAAAUAAAGAAAAGCACUUGUGAGUCCCACCACAUUCCUAGAAGAACAUCUCACAAACAGCUGGCCCAGAGAAACAAAGCUGGCUACAAUGUACUGCAGGAGUCACAGUCCCUCUCCCUUGAAACUGUACACGGACGCCAACAGCACAGCUCAAGGGCAUCUGCAGUCUUUGUUCAAGGAAACACCCACACCCUGCUGGAAGUGAAGGCAAUCAAACGCAUUUUGUGUUAGGAUUUACCCACAGCAGAGGGGCCAGCAAGUGGUCUGGGCACACAAGUCAGCUCUCCAGAAGUCAGAUCCUUCAGGCUUCUCUGAGACUCAGUUCUAGUCCCAUACACUAGACAACCCAUGGCUUACCUCUUUCUGCAGCACAGGGUCUUGGCAGAUGUAUUUCCAGGAAAUAAAGUGGCUAGAGCUAGCAGCAAGGAGGCAAGAACACAUUCCCAGUGGCUGCAAAGACACGUGGCUGUUAACAGUCUGUGGCACAUCCAAAGUCAGUGGGAAUGGAGAGACGGAAAAAACAUGUCACUUUGCCCAUGAGUGAGCUCACACACAAGACAGGACUUGAAGUACCAUUAAAAACCAGAUGAAUUCUCAAGAAGUACUGACAAUAAUAAGAUUUCAAGUGCAGCCUUUUUAUGCAAUCCAUAUGAAACCGUUCUAGCCUAGCAAUGAAGAAACACUAAAUGCAUAGUGGUCAAACUUUUUUUUUUUCUUUUUUAUUUAAAAUAUCAUUAUAACCAAUUGACAUACUAGAUAACAAUGUAUACAUUCCAGUGGUGCACAUGUAAUGACCUAUGGCAUGAAUGAGUAAAAAAACCCACAAUGUUCUCAGUAAUGCCCCACCAACAGCUUAUUUGGAGGGAAUAAAGGAAGAGGGAAAGCAGGAAAAAGUAUCAAAUGUGGGGAAGAAAAAAGAAUUACAGUUUUCCCCAGUAUUUUUAAUGGUGUAUCUUCAUAUUUCUUGGGACAUAAUAAAAUUAAGAAUAUACUUCAAAAGGGGCAGAAGGAAUGAUCACAAUAAUUGGGGUGGGAUUUUUUUUUCUCAACUUUAGUAAUAAAAGUUAAAGAACUCUCAAAAAUAGACUAGAUAUUGGGCCUACAAAAGUAAUUCAUCUGUAUGCAAAGCUUACCAAGAAUUAUUCCUUUUGUAAAAUGUAAAGGAUGAGUUGACAUUACUAGUAAGCUAUUUUUACCCUACAAAACCAGACUACAAUAAUAAAAUCACCAAUUUACAGCUAACACAAUAUUCUAGAUGUACAUUACUGUACACAAGCUAUAUAUUACACAUGAACAUCUUACGUGAAAUAUAUAAGAAACAUACUUACUGAUAUUGUCUCAACAUUGGCCAAUAGGUUUGUUUUUCUAAAGGAGGUGUAUUUUUCUAUUCACAUUCAGUGUAGUUCCAAUAGCAAGGGUUAGCUUUGCUUACUUAAGAAACGUAGAAAGUUUGUGUGAGGUAGUUCAAGAAAACCUAGCUUAAAUUUUUUAACUGCAGAAUUAGAAACACAAUGUGACCUGAUUCAUAACACAUUUCUAUAAUGCAGACAUAUCUAAAGAGGAGGAAGGAGUGAAAGAGACCACUUAAAAUACCACUUUUAUCCAGUGCCCUAAACUAGGAAUAAAUUAAAUUAAUUGAAAAUUUGAGUAGGCGGUACAGUCUCAUCACAUUUCUUCAUUAGAACUCUUUCUAAUCCUACUGAAAAAUGCAGACAGGCUCUCCUUCAACUCCAGUCCUCAACCUAAAUAUGUAAGAACCAAACCACUGAUAGGAAAAUAAAAUAUAACAGCAUGGAGAAGCUGCUGCCAACAGCAAACAAAACCAUUUCUAGAAACCAUAAUUCAUGCCAUUUAGUGACCUGAAAGAGUAAGACUGAGUGUAAGCUGAACCUUCUUCCCCCCUUUCCCCCAUAAUCUUAAUUGAGAAACUUUAUCACACACUUUGGAUUAUUGGCUGGGUAGAACCAUCCUCCUGUAGGAGCUUUUUGACCAUUUUUCUUCAUGCACUGUUGAGCUGAAUGCCACAUCAUCCCUCCCUCCCUGCAGGGCCCCUGGCCAGGUGCUCAGUGUUGGCUCCACUGACCAUUCCAAGAGGAUUGCACGGACCGUCCCCGUGGGACCCUCAGACAGCAAGGGGUGCUACUGCUGUGGCCUGGCACCCCCUCAGCACCCACCCUGUGGUGGGGAUGUGGGGACUACACACACAGACACACAGACGCAGUCAUACACAGACACUCCCCCCCACACAUACCCAUACACCCCCCGAACAAACAAUUUAUGAUACUCUGUAUCUAGCUGGAAUUCCUAUCCAAAAACAUACCACUGCACCCAGCACAGCAAGGUUCUUCAAAGCUAAAAUCCCGAGCAGUGCAGCUCACGCAGGGCAAGUGCUGUGUCUGUUGAGCAGAGCAGAAUGAACCGGGGCUGCCCUGGACAGUCAGGCUGGGCUGAGAGUUUUGAUCUGCCAGCCCAGCUGCUCACACACACCAACACACAGUGAAACAUCAGUUCUGACCCCAUUGUCUUGCAUCAGAAAAGGCCUUACAACGCAGUACUGCAGCACACCAUCAUGGUACUCAUUCCCACCUGCCCCCCCACACUUCUAUUUCAAAUUCUUGAAGAACCUAGUUCUACAAAAGGAGAGUGCUGUUUUAUCCUUGAUGCAUGCCACAGCUCUGACCAAAGGAGGUGGAAAUCAAUCUCACUAUUAUUGCCCAACAUUUAAUCUCACCUGACAUAAGAGAUCAGACAGCUCAUUGUAAUUCAAUCCCUACCAAUUCUCCAACGGAUUAGAACAGCCCUAGGAAGUUGCAUGCACUCUAGUGAAGCCCAUUGUCAUGAGAAGAUUUUGAAACAGUCUAAAAUAAAGCUUAACUGUACUUUAGGAAUAAAACUGUACAGUGUACUGGACAACAUAUAAUCUAACAAACAAUAGACAAAGACAGCUCAACUCCAGUUACCUAUUUGUUUGCUAUCUGUGGUGGUGUACAACUAUCGCUUAAGUAAUUUUAUAUUUCAGCAAAUAAAAAGGAAAGUUAAGACUA